rnacentral:rRNA from 1 species
AUGGUGAACUCAAAUGGAGUUGAUUUUGACAGUUGCAGUUUUGAUCUGGGUCUUGUUUACUCGAAGAUUUCAUUGCCGUGCUGUUUCUUCGCUUGGAGCUUCCAUUUUGUUGGUGGCACCAGAGGGCGAGUCCAGCCUUACUGUGCCCUUUACCUAGCUAAUGGGCCGACGAUAGAAUUGACAAGAAGAGAGCACAGAAGCAGGGAAUGGACGACCAUUGUGACGACGCGUACGUACGAGAUCUCUAGAGCUCGGGUUAUACUUGGGUUCGCUCCCGACCCCUCCCUCCCUGCGACACACUGGCCCAUACCGGCGGCGCUCACUCCGGCGCCGUCGGCCACCUCACUCCUCCUGCACCCUGCGCUCCUGGCCGGGCACCACCGCCCCUCCCCUGCGCGGUCUGGGAGUUCCCUGCCCUGCAGCGCCCCGCGGCCUCAGAUCGGGCGGCCGCCGAUCUGGAUCGGGAUUUCGCCACGCCGCCCCCUCCGUCGCCUGGGCGCCCGUUGGGCGCUGUGGACGACCGCGCCUGUGUCCUGGAGACCCCUCCCGAGCUGCUGGGCAACGCUGGUCUCCCCCCUCCCGCCAUCAAUGCGGCUGUUGGGUGCUGCUCGGCCAGCUCGGCGGGCAUUGAUGGCCGGGGCAUCACGGGAUGGCUUGACUGCUUUCGGCCGCCCGCGGCUCAGGAUGGGACGACGGCACUCGAUGGGACGGCAGCGCAUUCACUCCCGCGCGGCGCGCCGGCCGCAGGGCUCGAGGCGGAGAGGACGGAGCCUUGGGUGGAGGUCCGCCUCUCUGGCUUCGCACAGCGGCCGGCUAUCGACACCUGAGGAGGCAUCCUCAUGCUGUGGGAUGAAAACCUUCUUGACGUGGCCAAUCGUUGUCGCUUCGACCUACGGCCUUUCGGCGAUGGUGCGUAUCCGUGCGUCUGACGUGUGCUUCAAGGCGACUUCGGUCUAUGGACCUACCGACUCAUCUUGCAAAGAUGCAUUCUUCGCCGAGUUGAUCAGUCACAAGCCUUCGUCGGGAGGUCCCAAGAGACCGCACUUCUGGGCCUCCCUGCCGGGUUUUGCUGAGAUCGCGCGCAAGGCGUGGGACGAGCAUGCGGCCCACUCUGAGCCUUUUCUGGUCCUGCAUCACAAGCUCAAGAAAAACGCGCUUCGUCUCACCGAAUGGAGCAAGAAGAUGUUCUCCAAGGCCAAAAUCCAGCUUCAUGCGGCCUUGCUCAUCAUCCUUCGUCUUGACAUUGCCCAGGAGGAGAGGCCCCUGUCUAAUGAGGAGCUUGAUUUGCGUUCGCGGCUGAAGAGGAGGCCUGAGGUGCUCCUUACAAUCUCGGAAGUUUCAGAAACAUCGAUGAUCCUAGAUUUGGCACCCUCAGGACAUGGUAGUACCUGA